CUUGGAGCAGAUGUUCCGGCUCCUUCCUGCAUCGAAAACAAACAGGCGCUCUGUUGUCAUUUGCUCUCCUGGGAAAAUCCCUCUGCUGGCGCAAAUUCUUCUUGAGAGGUUCAGGGACUUCUGUGAAGUCUCUCCCGGCUGCUCCUUGCCAGGAAUUUGCCUCCAGAUGGAUGACAGGGGCUCCUCAGGUCUUCCGAGGGUACUCCCCUGGUUUGAAGAUGGCUAUUGGGACACCAUCUGGCCUCGAGACAUCAGGAGAGGCAGUGUAGUCCAGUAGGUCUUUGGAUGAUGGAUCCUGAGGUUGCAAGAGCAUGGGUAAGUCAUCCAAGGCAACCACACCGGAAGUACUGACCCAGGGCUUCUGACGUCCAGCACCAUGUUCCUGCUCCUGCACAGAGGAAUGCCCCGGGACAGUGGCAUAUGGCUCUGUCUCCAAGCUGCAGGAACAGCAGGAGGCCUGGACAUCCAGGCAGGGAGUGGAGCCAGCAGGGGGCCACCCACUUGGAGGAGUCGAUGGAGUCUGAGAUGACGGUACAGACCCGCGCUCUGGGCCAAGCGCUGCCCCUUCACGCUGUGUGACUUUGGUCGAGGUGUGGCACCUCUCUGGGCCUCGGCACUGGGACGUUCACCGUCACUCCUGCCGUGUGAGGGAU